GUUAGAAUGUGAGCUCACGAGGGCAGGAUCACGUCUGCCACGUGAGUCACUGCACCCUGGCGCCUGGACUGAGCUUGGCACACAGAAGUGGCCCGAUGGCUGGGUGUUGAAGGAGUGAGAGUUGGUGUUUGAUUUUACCGCUGAAGACACAGAGGUGUCACCUGAGUGUCCUGCCCGAUGAUGACAGCUGUGCUUUAUGGAGAGUCCUGUGUGCUGAGCCCUUUAAACCUCACAGCAACUGGGAAGAUGUACAACCCCAUUUGUGAGGAAGAGACCCGCCAGCUUGAGCGUCUUGGGCAAAGACACACAGCAGGGCAGAGGGAGGCGCGGGGCCCAAACCCUGCUGGUGACUUCUUUGCUGUCUUGACUCCCACCGUCCUCUCGGACAGUCGAGUGGCCCUUCCCACUCACUCCAUCUCCAGGCAGCCCCGGGUGUGACCCGCAGACAGAAUCCACCCGGCUGUACGACCUCCUAGCCAAGGACUGGCCCCAUUUCCCAGGACUCCCAUUUCAGCGUUUCCCGUCCAACAGUAAGUUCUUCCUUCAGCCUCCCCUCAAUCCCGCUUGCUUCCGCUUCCGCUUCAGCUCAAUUCUUGUCCCGCGGUCUGUGGAGCUCACGCCAAGAGUCCCGCACUGCAACUCCGACUCUUCGCUUGCGUGCAGGGCAGCCCGGGCUCCGCGGGCGGAACCCCGACUCCCAGGCAGAUGUGGUUGAGGACCUGGGUGAAAUCACAAAUGAGCUUGCCUGGAGCACUGGAGGGAUCAGAAGUGCCUCUCCUGCCACCGGCCACCAGCAGCGGAGAUGUCAGCCCUGUCCCUCUGACCCUGCCAGUGCCACUCAACUUCUCUCUCCCUGGAUUUCCCACCUGGGGCUCUGCCUCCCUCUGACUCCUGGGUGCGGUGGGUCAGGCUCUCUGCCUGUGUGUGCCUCAGGUACCUGCUGCCCUCUCUCUUUGCUGUCUUGGUGUGGGUUCCACACCCGGGCUGUCCCAUCUUGCAGCUGGUGAUUGGCCUGGGUCUGAUGUGCACCCUGCCCCAGGCGGUGGGCCCUGUAUCCUGCUAGAGCUAAGAGCUGGGGACAGCUGGGCACCAAAGAAAAGCAGCCCAGCUUUUAGGUCAACAGGGCUGGCAGCCAGAGGUUUCCUUUUAUCUAAGAUGGAUUUGAUCUUCCAGGCCAGGCCUGGCUGAGUGCUUGAGCACACAUACACACACGCACACACACACAUGUAUCCACACACAUGGAGACACACAAAGCAGGUUUGCUUUUUGUUUGUUUGUUUGUGUUUUGAGACAGGGUCUCACUAUGUAGUUGAGACUGACCUGGAACUCACUAUGUAGCCCAGACUGGUCUCGAGCUCACAGCGAUCCCCUUGCCUCAGCCUCCCGAGUGCUGGGAUUACAGGCAUGCGCCACCACUCCCGGCUUACAAAGCAGGUUUUGAGCAGCAUCACAUAACCCCACAGCCACACCAACAAUCACAUCUCCCUACUGAUAUCCAGGAUCCAGAGACCCUGACCCCAACUCCCAGCCCCAAACCACACCACACAGAGUCCCCACCUUCCUUCUCCAGGAACCCUGGGGCAGGGGAAGGUGCCUCUGGAAGGAACAAGGACAAGAGGUCCCAGAUGUUACCACCCCAAGCUACAGAGACUCUAGCCUCUCGCCCAGCAAGGUGGCAGGAGGAGGACAGCUCCUGAGCCAGGCUCCCCAGCUGGAGGAAAGAAGGAAAGAUUCGCUCCCAGGACCCUCUGUUGGCUCCCGGCCCUGCUCUCUCCUAUACUGGCCACGAAAGCCCGUCACUUUCCAGGCAGCUGUGAUUUCUUUGUUUCCUCCUUUCUUUGUAUUCCCCUUGAUUUAUGAGACUGGAGCCGAAGAUCUUUUCUCAUUUCACUUACUUUGAAACGGACUCAAGUCGUUUCAAUAAUAAAUCAGUCUAAAUAAAAAGCAAAGCUCCCACGUGCUUGUGGGGGCCUGGAUGAGGACUGCUCCGGGAAAGGC
ensembl:lincRNA